AACGAACGCUGGCGGCAGGCCUAACACAUGCAAGUCGAGCGAGGACUUCGGUCCUAGCGGCGGACGGGUGAGUAACGCGUGGGAACGUGCCCUUUGCUUCGGAAUAGCCGUGGGAAACUGGGAGUAAUACCGGAUGAGCCCUUUGGGGGAAAGAUUUAUCGGCGAAGGAUCGGCCCGCGUUGGAUUAGGUAGUUGGUGGGGUAAUGGCCUACCAAGCCGACGAUCCAUAGCUGGUUUGAGAGGAUGAUCAGCCACACUGGGACUGAGACACGGCCCAGACUCCUACGGGAGGCAGCAGUGGGGAAUCUUAGACAAUGGGGGAAACCCUGAUCUAGCCAUGCCGCGUGAGCGAUGAAGGCCUUAGGGUUGUAAAGCUCUUUCAGCUGGGAAGAUAAUGACGGUACCAGCAGAAGAAGCCCCGGCUAACUCCGUG
rnacentral:rRNA from 1 species